rnacentral:rRNA from 1 species
UACGUAGGGUGCAAGCGUUGUCCGGAAUUACUGGGCGUAAAGAGCUCGUAGGCGGUUUGUCACGUCGGAUGUGAAAGCCCGAGGCUCAACCUCGGGUCUGCAUUCGAUACGGGCAGACUAGAGUUCGGUAGGGGAGACUGGAAUUCCUGGUGUAGCGGUGAAAUGCGCAGAUAUCAGGAGGAACACCGGUGGCGAAGGCGGGUCUCUGGGCCGAUACUGACGCUGAGGAGCGAAAGCGUGGGGAGCAAACAGG